AGAAAAGUAACCGCCGCCCCGCGCAGGGGCGACGCUAAUAGACCGACAAGAUCACAGGUGCUUCACGAUCACAGGUGCUUCACGACGACAAAGGCAAGCACACGCCCCAC
rnacentral:sRNA from 1 species